rnacentral:rRNA from 1 species
GGGUUUCCGCCCUUCAGUGCCGCAGCUAACGCAUUAAGCACUCCGCCUGGGGAGUACGACCGCAAGGUUGAAACUCAAAGGAAUUGACGGGGGCCCGCACAAGCGGUGGAGCAUGUGGUUUAAUUCGAAGCUACGCGAAGAACCUUACCAGGUCUUGACAUCUUGCGCCAACCCUAGAGAUAGGGCGUUUCCUUCGGGAACGCAAUGACAGGUGGUGCAUGGUCGUCGUCAGCUCGUGUCGUGAGAUGUUGGGUUAAGUCCCGCAACGAGCGCAACCCUUGUUACUAGUUGCCAGCAUUCAGUUGGGCACUCUAGUGAGACUGCCGGUGACAAACCGGAGGAAGGUGGGGACGACGUCAGAUCAUCAUGCCCCUUAUGACCUGGGCUACACACGUGCUACAAUGGACGGUACAACGAGUCGCGAACUCGCGAGGGCAAGCUAAUCUCUUAAAACCGUUCUCAGUUCGGACUGCAGGCUGCAACUCGCCUGCACGAAGUCGGAAUCGCUAGUAAUCGCGGAUCAGCAUGCCGCGGUGAAUACGUUCCCGGGCCUUGUACACACCGCCCGUCACACCAUGAGAGUUUGCAACACCCAAAGUCGGCG